rnacentral:rRNA from 1 species
AUUGAACGCUGGCGGCAGGCUUAACACAUGCAAGUCGAGCGGGGUGAUGGUGCUUGCACUAUCACUUAGCGGCGGACGGGUGAGUAAUGCUUAGGAAUCUGCCUAUUAGUGGGGGACAACAUCUCGAAAGGGAUGCUAAUACCGCAUACGUCCUACGGGAGAAAGCAGGGGAUCACUUGUGACCUUGCGCUAAUAGAUGAGCCUAAGUCGGAUUAGCUAGUUGGUGGGGUAAAGGCCUACCAAGGCGACGAUCUGUAGCGGGUCUGAGAGGAUGAUCCGCCACACUGGGACUGAGACACGGCCCAGACUCCUACGGGAGGCAGCAGUGGGGAAUAUUGGACAAUGGGGGGAACCCUGAUCCAGCCAUGCCGCGUGUGUGAAGAAGGCCUUAUGGUUGUAAGCACUUUAAGCGAGGAGGAGGCUCUUUUGGUUAAUACCCAAGAUGAGUGACGUUACUCGCAGAAUAAGCACCGGCUAACUCUGUGCCAGCAGCCGCCGCCG